GGCACCGAAACACAAUGCCAAUGGGGCACCGGUUCCAACGUUAACGGAAGUAACGGGACCAAAUAAGAACGAAAAUUUCGGUGCCUCAUUUCGGUUUGUUUACUUUAAACUACACCUGAUAG